rnacentral:rRNA from 1 species
UACGGAGGGUGCAAGCGUUAUCCGGAUUCACUGGGUUUAAAGGGUGGCGUAGGUGGGUUGGUAAGUCAGUGGUGAAAUCUCCGAGCUUAACUUGGAAACUGCCAUUGAUACUAUCAGUCUUGAAUAUUGUGGAGGUCAGCGGAAUAUGUCAUGUAGCGGUGAAAUGCUUAGAUAUGACAUAGAACACCAAUUGCGAAGGCAGCUGGCUACACAUAUAUUGACACUGAGGCACGAAAGCGUGGGGAUCAAACAGG